rnacentral:rRNA from 1 species
GAUGAACGCUGGCGGCGUGCCUAAUACAUGCAAGUCGAGCGAACGGACGAGAAGCUUGCUUCUCUGAUGUUAGCGGCGGACGGGUGAGUAACACGUGGAUAACCUACCUAUAAGACUGGGAUAACUUCGGGAAACCGGAGCUAAUACCGGAUAAUAUUUUGAACCGCAUGGUUCAAAAGUGAAAGACGGUCUUGCUGUCACUUAUAGAUGGAUCCGCGCUGCAUUAGCUAGUUGGUAAGGUAACGGCUUACCAAGGCAACGAUGCAUAGCCGACCUGUGAGGGUGAUCGGCCACACGGGAACUGGGACACGGUCCAGACUCCUACGGGAGGCAGCAGUAGGGAAUCUUCCGCAAUGGGCGAAAGCCUGACGGAGCAACGCCGCGUGAGUGAUGAAGGUCUUCGGAUCGUAAAACUCUGUUAUUAGGGAAGAACAUAUGUGUAAGUAACUGUGCACAUCUUGACGGUACCUAAUCAGAAAGCCACGGCUAACUACGUG